ACUCUUCGGACAAUAUACAAGGUGCUGCAUGGUUGUCGUCAGCUCGUGCCGUGAGGUGUCCGGGUUAAGUCCCAUAACGAGCCGCAACCCCUAUCAUUAGUUGCCAUCAGGUCAAGCUGGGGACUCUAAUGAAACUGCCUACGCAAGUAGUGAGGAAGGUGGGAUGACGUCAAAUCAGCACGGCCCUUACGUCCGGGCGACACACGUGUUACAAUGGGUGGUACAAAGGGCAGCUACCUGGCGACAGGAUGCUAAUCUCCAAAACCACUCUCAGUUCGGAUCGGAGUCUGCAACUCGACUCCGUGAAGCUGGAUUCGCUAGUAAUCGCGCAUCAGCCACGGCGCGGUGAAUACGUUCCCGGGCCUU
rnacentral:rRNA from 1 species